UUCACGUUCUCGCUUUUCCAGAGAGAGAGAGAGAGAGAGAGAGAGAAAGAGAGAGAGAAAGAGAAAAAAACGUUCAAGAUUCUGGACAAGGGACAGAGUGGAAGGAGAAGGGGAAAGGCUGGAUGGAUACAAAGGGAGAGAGAGGAACUCAAGUGCUUGAACGCAGGAUCCAUCUGUUCGGUGUAUCGUCUGAUUUCCCCCUCCCAGCACCCUCCUCCUCCUCUUUUCCUCCCUCACCUCCCAUUUGCACCACGUAGGCCUGAUUUAUCAAGAAUUGGCUCUCAGGGAGCGUCCCUCCUGCUGUACCCACCUGCCCCCCUGCAUAUGCCGGGAAAAUGAGAAUAGAU